UCCAGACUCCUACGGGAGGCAGCAGUGAGGAAUAUUGGUCAAUGGGAGAGAUCCUGAACCAGCCAAGCCGCGUGAGGGAAGACGGCCCUAUGGGUUGUAAACCUCUUUUGUCGGAGAACAAAACCCGGGACGUGUCCCGGACUGCGUGUAUCCGAAGAAAAAGCAUCGGCUAACUCCGUGCCAGCAGCCGCGGUAAUACGGAGGAUGCGAGCGUUAUCCGGAUUUAUUGGGUUUAAAGGGUGCGUAGGCGGAACAUUAAGUCAGCGGUAAAAUCGAGGGGCUCAACCCCUUUAAGCCGUUGAAACUGGUGAUCUUGGGUGGGCGAGAAGUAUGCGGAAUGCGUGGUGUAGCGGUGAAAUGCAUAGAUAUCACGCAGAACUCCGAUUGCGAAGGCAGCAUACCGGCGCCCGACUGACGCUGAGGCACGAAAGCGUGGGGAUCGAACAGGAUUAGAUACCCAGUA
rnacentral:rRNA from 1 species